AGUACCGUGAGGGAAAGAUGAAAAGGACUUUGAAAAGAGAGUUAAAGAGUACGUGAAACCGUUGAAAGGGAAGCGAAUGGAGUUAGCAAUUCGCCUCGCCAGAUUCAGUUUUUCGCCUCCCGAGACGCUCGUUAUCUCGAUCUCUGUAGACGAGUGGCGUGCGGACGCGGGACGUGAGGGGCGCACUUCUGGCGGGCGAGCGUCAACGUCGGUUUCGCUCGACGAGCUAGGAGGUCGCGAGGAAGGUGGACUGGCUCAUUCGGGCCGGUUGUUAAGCCUCGCGAACGUACCGCUCGUCCGAGACCGUGGAUGAUGACAAUGUGUCGCGACGCGUGCCUCCCUUCGGGGUGGGCUGGAGUCCCGUUCUGUUUGUCUGGUUGUCGACCGUUGCGGACGGCACGCCUGUGCGCUCGAACCGCUGCCGGUCAACAGUUCGGUGACAACACACCACGCGUCGAGGACGUUGACGACCAUACGGCUCUAUCCGACCCGUCUUGAAACACGGACCAAGGAGUCUAACAUGUGCGCGAGUCUCUGGGUGAUCGAAACCCGAGGGCGAAAUGAAAGUAAAGGCAGCUCCGGCUGCUGAGGUGAGAAGCGUCGACCUCGCGUCGGCGCCGCAUCAUCGACCGACCUAUUCUACUCCUAGAACGGUUUGAGUAAGAGCGUAUCUGUUGGGACCCGAAAGAUGGUGAACUAUGCCUGAAUAGGGUGAAGCCAGCGGAAACACUG
rnacentral:rRNA from 1 species